UUUUAUUUCAAUUAAUGUUUAUAUUGUUUCAAGUAAUCCUUUUUUUUAAUAAUAAUAACCUUGUUAUUAUGAAGCCUCCAUUUACCAAGGGUAGCUAGGGCAGAUGAUUUAUAAAAACUGUUUAUAAUAUGGCUUCAUGCAUACUUACUAUGAUACUUUUAUGGUGCUUUUGAGUCCUUUCUGAACCUUAAAAGCCUCAUUUUCUAUCUGCUUUAAUAUGGAAAAGAGUAACCAGUACAAUCUUCAAAAUGUUUCCUUUUAUGUUCCACUUGAAUAAAGAAAGAAAGAAAGAAAGAAAGAAAGAAAGAAAGAAAGAAAGAAAGAAAGAAAGAAAGAAAGAAAGAAAGAAAGAAAGAAAGAAAGAAAGAAAGAAAGAAAGAAAUGGUUUAGGACAAUGUGAGUGUGAGUGAAUAAUGGCAGAAAUUUCAUUUCCGUGUGAUCUAAUUCAUUGAUAUGAACUUUUGACGUCAAAGUCAUACCAACACGCGUAUGUCUGCAUGUCAAAACACAAUAGCAAUUAUAGGGGCUGGCCUCCAAACUAAAUAACUCACUCUUUCUCUCCCUCCAAAGUGCUCCCAACCCCGUGAAACGCUGACACGGCUGAUCAGUCUGAGUGGUGGAUGAAAAAGUGCUGAGUCAGCCUGGGCUGCACCGUCCUCCUCCAGAGCAGAGAUGCUUAGAAUGUGGCCUCAUCAAUAAUGAAAUGUUCCCUCGGCCUGCCGAGAGCCAUAGCCAGAGCUCAGGUCUCUGCUUCUCAUCACCCACUGCAGUGGCUUCAGUACCAGUCGGGUGUCAGCGAAGGCGAGAUAAUGCAUGUGGGCUAUACAGAAUGCUGGAGCACAAUGCGCUGUUGGUAACUGGGAUGGCCCCGGGCAUUUUGGGAUCGGAAUAAUUAAAACUGUUAUUCAGCUUCAUAAAAUCAAUGACAAACUCCUACCAUGCCCUGGCAAGAGACAGAUGGUGUGACGCCAUAUAUCAGAGCAGCAAUCUGCACUCCCAUCAAACAUUUACACAUUUUCACCUCCCUUUCUGGAGAACACACACACACACACAAUACUAGUAAAGUGCACUGUCUACCCCAGUCCUCUUCUCACUUAGCUCUGGAUUUCGGUGGAUUUUCCCUUCCCCCAGCUCUCAUGCCCACUCCCUGCUCCUGAAAAAGCUCCCGGGAAGCUCAGUGGUGCAGUGUUUCAAGACUCCCCCAUGUGGGAGCUGUCCUGAAUGGGUCAUUCAGAGGCCAUCUAGCAACAGACCAACACAUGGUCCAAUCAAAUAAUACAU
ensembl:lncRNA